UAGAACAGUCUAAUAUUCAGAUAUUGGAUAUUGAAAAAACUGUGAUUCAUGAAGGGUUUGAUGAGACAACAGGAGUAAAUGACAUUGCCUUAAUAAAAGCUGUAGGGGAAUUCACGUUUACUGAUUUGGUUAUUUCAUUAUGUAUGAAUAUAGACCGAUCAAUAAUUCACCAGGAGCGAAUGGAACGAUGAGCGGGAUUACUAAUGAAGAGAGCAAGGUAUUACAAGCUGAUAGAGUGACGAUUAUGAAACAAACUAGUUAUAAAGUUUGUAGGCAUCCUGGAGUGUUUUGUACUGGUCCAAACACUGGCCUUAAGUCAAUGGCUUCUGGGGCAUCUCUUGCAAUGUGUUUUAAUGGCAAAUGUGCUCUGGCCGGUCUACAUUCAACAAGAUCGGCUGCAUUUAGUCCCGAUUACACUAAAUUUUACAGUUUUACAAACAUUGUAUACUACUUACCUUGGAUUUAUAAGAAUGGAAAAUAAAAAGAUUUGAAAUGA
rnacentral:lncRNA from 1 species